CGACAUGGUAGAUUAUGUUUUGAUUAAGUCACUAGUCGAUUCGUGCAGACCUAUGCCAUCAAGAUUAAUCAGUGUGAUUGAUUUAGAUGUCUUUAGACCAACUUGUGUCAAUCCCCUAUAUUAUUUGGUGAAGUCAGUGGGAGGAUUUGCAGCUUGCAGAUUAACUUCUUCUCUUAUUCUCAAGUCAAUGAAAUCAAAUCUUCUACAUUAUUUGAGUCGCUACUCACCAUCGCUGUAGUAGCCCUCGUCCAACCCC
rnacentral:lncRNA from 1 species